AUUGAACGCUGGCGGCGAUGCCUUACACAUGCAAGUCGAACGGCAGCGGACCUUCGGGUGCCGGCGAGUGGCGAACGGGUGAGUAAUAUAUCGGAACGUACCUUUCAGUGGGGGAUAACGUAGCGAAAGUUACGCUAAUACCGCAUAUUCUGUGAGCAGGAAAGCAGGGGAUCGCAAGACCUUGCGCUGAUUGAGCGGCCGAUAUCAGAUUAGCUAGUUGGUGAGGUAAAGGCUCACCAAGGCGACGAUCUGUAGCGGGGUCUGAGAGGAUGAUCAGCCACACUGGGACUGAGACCACGUCGCCAGUCCU
rnacentral:rRNA from 1 species